CCUACGGGAGGCAGCAGUGGGGAAUAUUGCGCAAUGGGCGAAAGCCUGACGCAGCUACGCCGCGUGAGGGAUGAAGGUCUUCGGAUCGUAAACCUCUGUCAGCAGGGCAGAACGGUCACUGUGCUAAUCAGCAGUGAAUUGACGGUACCUGCAAAGGAAGCACCGGCUAACUCCGUGCCAGCAGCCGCGGUAAUACGGAGGGUGCGAGCGUUAAUCGGAAUUACUGGUCGUAAAGCGCUCGUAGGCGGUAUGUCAAGUCAAGGGUGAAAUCCCCGCGCUCAACGAGGGAACUGCCUUUGAAACUGGCAAACUGGAGGGUUUGAGAGGAUAGUGGAAUUCCAGGGGUAGGAGUGAAAGCCGUAGAGAUCUGGAGGAACAUCAGUGGCGAAGGCGACUAUCUGGCACAUAACUGACGCUGAGGAGCGAAAGCGUGGGUAGCAAACAGGAUUAGAUACCCUUGUAGUC
rnacentral:rRNA from 1 species